rnacentral:misc_RNA from 1 species
GAUGAAGAACGCAGCGAAACGCGAUAUGUAAUGUGAAUUGCAGAAUUCAGUGAAUCAUCGAAUCUUUGAACGCACAUGGCGCCUUCCAGUAUCCUGGGAGGCAUGCCUGUCCGAGCGUCGUUUCAACCCUCGAGCCCUCGUGGCCCGGCGUUGGGGAUCUGCCACGGCAGGCCCCGAAAUACAGUGGCGGACCCGUUAGGCCCUUCCUUUGCGUAGUAGCAUCAGCCUCGCAUCGGGAGCCGGCGGGCUCUCCUGCCUCUAAACCCCCCAACAAGCCCGCUCCGGCGGCACCAAGGUUGACCUCGGAUCAGGUAGGAAUACCCGCUGAACUUAAGCAUAUCAUAAGGGAGGA